UACAGAGGGGGCAAGCGUUAUUCGGAAUUAUUGGGCGUAAAGGGCGCGUAGGCGGCUUUGCAAGUGACGGGUGAAAGCCCUCGGCUUAACCGAGGAACUGCCUGUCAGACUGUAAGGCUUGAGACCGGGAGAGGUGAGUGGAAUUCCCAGUGUAGCGGUGAAAUGCGUAGAGAUGGGGGAGAACACUCGUGGCGAAGGCGGCCAGCUAGACCAGUUCUGACACUGAGGCGCGACAGCGUGGGGAGCAAACAGG
rnacentral:rRNA from 1 species